rnacentral:lncRNA from 1 species
UGCUCGAGGUCUGCAGUGGCUGCCGGGUGCGGAGCGCCAGCCGGGGGUGGGCUCCCCAGGGCUGCUAGGCCCCUGCCCUCACCUGCGGCCGCCCGGCCCCGCCCUAGGCGUGCCGUCAAUGGAUCAUGAAGAUGGAGGUGGUGGCUCAUGCCUGUAAUCCCCACACUAUGAGGGGCUGAGGCGGGAGGAUCACUUGGGGCCCGUAGUUUGAGACCAGCCUGGGCAACAUAGCAAGACUCCAUCUCUACAAAAAAAUGCAAAAAGAAAUCAGUGGACCAUAUAUGUACACAUCUAUUUUGGAUUCAUGCUUGUAAGAUACUGAGCAUCGGCCAGGCGCGGUGGCUCACGCCUGUAAUCCCAGCACUUUGGGAGGCUGAGACAGGUGGAUCACCUGAGCUUGGGAGUUUGAGACCAGCCUGACCAACAUGGAGAAACCCCAUAUCUACUAAAAAUACAAAAUUAGCUGGGCAUGGUGGCGCAC